GAGUUUGAUCAUGGCUCAGAUUGAACGCUGGCGGCAUGCCUUACACAUGCAAGUCGAACGGUAACGCGGGGCAACCUGGCGACGAGUGGCGAACGGGUGAGUAAUAUAUCGGAACGUGCCCAGUAGUGGGGGAUAGCCCGGCGAAAGCCGGAUUAAUACCGCAUACGACCUACGGGUGAAAGCGGGGGAUCGCAAGACCUCGCGCUAUUGGAGCGGCCGAUAUCAGAUUAGGUAGUUGGUGGGGUAAAAGCCUACCAAGCCGACGAUCUGUAGCUGGUCUGAGAGGACGACCAGCCACACUGGGACUAAGACACGGCCCAGACUCCUACGGGAGGCAGCAGUGGGGAAUUUUGGACAAUGGGCGCAAGCCUGAUCCAGCCAUGCCGCGUGCGGGAAGAAGGCCUUCGGGUUGUAAACCGCUUUUGUCAGGGAAGAAAUCCUUUGAGUUAAUACCUCGAGGGGAUGACGGUACCUGAAGAAUAAGCACCGGCUAACUACGUGCCAGCAGCCGCGGUAAUACGUAGGGUGCAAGCGUUAAUCGGAAUUACUGGGCGUAAAGCGUGCGCAGGCGGUUGUGCAAGACAGGUGUGAAAUCCCCGGGCUUAACCUGGGAACUGCACUUGUGACUGCACAGCUGGAGUGCGGCAGAGGGGGAUGGAAUUCCGCGUGUAGCAGUGAAAUGCGUAGAUAUGCGGAGGAACACCGAUGGCGAAGGCAAUCCCCUGGGCCUGCACUGACGCUCAUGCACGAAAGCGUGGGGAGCAAACAGGAUUAGAUACCCUGGUAGUCCACGCCCUAAACGAUGUCAACUGGUUGUUGGACGGCUUGCUGUUCAGUAACGUAGCUAACGCGUGAAGUUGACCCGCCC
rnacentral:rRNA from 1 species